rnacentral:lncRNA from 1 species
CAGUGUGUGUGUAUGUCCGUGUGUGUGUGUUAGUGUGAGUGUGAGUGUGAGUAUGUAUGUGUAUUUUGCACAUUUGUCCAUGAGUGUGUGUGUAUGUACUUGGUUUAUAACCAUGAUAUUACAAUGUGAAUGUUUUGUAUGGUGUGGGGUUGAUGCUGAAUUGCAAUUUUUUGUGGUUGUUUGUUGCAGAGAAGAGGAGCAUAAACAGAAGGCUAAGGCUAAG